AGCGAACGCUGGCGGCAGGCCUAACACAUGCCAGUCGAACGAACCUUUCGGGGUUAGUGGCGGACGGGUGAGUAACACGUGGGAACGUGCCUUUAGGUUCGGAAUAACUCAGGGAAACUUGUGCUAAUACCGAAUGUGCCCUUCGGGGGAAAGAUUUAUCGCCUUUAGAGCGGCCCGCGUCUGAUUAGCUAGUUGGUUGAGGUAAUGGCUCACCAAGGCGACGAUCAGUAGCUGGUCUGAGAGGAUGAUCAGCCACAUUGGGACUGAGACACGGCCCAAAGGGAAAAGGGAGGCAGGCGGGGGGAAGGCGGCGGCAGGGGCGACAGCAGGACGGAGCGAUGCGGGGGGGAUGAGGAAGGUCUUAGGAUUGAACAAUUCAUUCGGGGGAAAAGAGAAAGGUGGUAGCGGGAGAAGAGGCCCCGGCGUACGUCGCGCCGGCAGGCGCGGGAUAAUGAAGAGACGACACAUCUUGCC
rnacentral:rRNA from 1 species